CUCUCUCUUUUCUGGGCUGCACUUCCUUGAGCUCUGCUUUCCUGGACAACAGGGUUAAAGCUCAUUAGGCCUGACUGAAGUCUUCAGUGGGAUCUAUCUUUCUGUCUUCUCUUUCAUAAGGCUGCACUUUCUCUAGGCUUCAGUCUUUUCUUCUAAGUUUUAGGUAUUGUAGCAGGAACAUUUGUUGUGGUUGUAGCUGUUCUUGGUCUGAUUUACUAUCGCUGCUGGAGAUCCAGACAUGGCAUGGAGAAAAACAAGCCUGACCGUCUGUUGGAUCAGGUAAGAUAAGGAAGUGUGUCAUUUUAGAAAACUGUGAAUCAGUUCUGCUAACCGAGUGUUUGUGUUCACUUAACACAAAACAUCAAAAGUACAAAUAAUUUCUGUGCUAAUUGUGGUUUAAUGUACAGAAUACAGUUUUAUUGAACAUUGAUUAUUUUUACAUUUUCAUACACAAGUCCUGCUUGUCUAUCGGUUGUGGUGUGACUUUACUAAAAACAGUAAAAACACAAAUAUUGUGAAAUAGUAUUACAAUUUAAAAUAACUUUACUUUUAUAAAAUAUUGUAAAAUGUAAUGUAUUGCU